rnacentral:tRNA from 1 species
GAUCUGGGGGAUGUAGAAACUCAAGGAAGUAGCUAUAAUGCGCCCCGCCUCCAUGUAGCAAUCGAGGCGCGGAAGAUCGUCGUCUCCGGUGAGGCGGCUGGACUUCAAAUCCAGUUGGGGCCGCCAGCGGUCCCGGGCAGGUUCGACUCCUGUGAUCUUCCGCCAGUUUGCCUCUCCUGA